CAAAACUUAGAAAAGACGGUCUCAGUUCGGAUUGAAGGCUGAAAUUCGCCUUCAUGAAGCUGGAAUUGCUAGUAAUGGCAGGUCAGCAUACUGCCGUGAAUACGUUCCCGGGCCUUGUACACACCGCCCGUCACACCAUGAGAGUUGGAAAUACCCGAAGCCUGUGAGCUAACAGUAAUGAGGCAGCAGUCGAAGGUAGAGCCAAUGAUUGGGGUGAAGUCGUAACAAGGUACC
rnacentral:rRNA from 1 species